AGCUGCUAACUUGCCGGCGACCGGCGCACGGUGAGUAACGCGUAUCCAACCUCCCCCUUAGUAGGGCAUAGCCCGUAGAAAUGCGGAUUAAUACCCUAUGUUAUUCGUCGAGGACAUCUGAAGUGAAUCAAAGGUUUACCGCUAAGGGAUGGGGAUGCGUCUGAUUAGGCAGCAGGCGGGGUAACGGCCCACCUGGCCUACGAUCAGUAGGGGUUCUGAGAGGAAGGUCCCCCACAUUGGAACUGAGACACGGUCCAAACUCCUACGGGAGGCAGCAGUGAGGAAUAUUGGUCAAUGGUCGAGAGACUGAACCAGCCAAGUAGCGUGCAGGACGACCGGCCCUAGUGGGUUAGUAAACUGUCUUUUAUGGCGGGGAAUAAAGUGACGUACGUGUACGUUUUUGUAGGUACCGCAUGAAUAAGGACCGGCUAAUUCCGUGCCAGCCGCGGC
rnacentral:rRNA from 1 species